rnacentral:misc_RNA from 1 species
GAUGAAGAACGUAGCGAAAUGCGAUAAGUAAUGCGAAUUGCAGAAUUUCCGUGAGUCAUCGAAUCUUUGAACGCACAUUGCGCCCUCUGGUAUUCCGGGGGGCAUGCCUGUUCGAGCGUCAUUAUAACCACUCAAGCUCUCGCUUGGUAUUGGGGUUCGCGGUUCCGCGGCCCCUAAAAUCAGUGGCGGUGCCUGUCGGCUCUACGCGUAGUAAUACUCCUCGCGAUUGAGUCCGGUAGGUCUACUUGCCAGCAACCCCCAAUUUUUACAGGUUGACCUCGGAUCAGGUAGGGAUACCCGCUGAACUUAAGCAUAUCAAUAAGCGGAGGA